rnacentral:tRNA from 1 species
UGACUCCUUGGUCAAGUGGUUAAGACACCGCCCUUUCACGGCGGUAACAUGGGUUCAAAUCCCGUAGGAGUCAU